UCCCUAAGUAACUGCGUCUUAUUGAAGA
rnacentral:piRNA from 1 species